rnacentral:lncRNA from 1 species
CUGUAACUUGAAUGGAAACCCUCCAACUCUUCUCAUUAGAAGUUUCAAUUUGAUCACUUGGAUGGUUUCCUUUCUAUUCUAAGAUGGACUUCAGAAUUUGUUGUUUUUUUUUUCAUGUAUGAACCAUUGAAAGUGAAUUCCUAGAUCUAGGAUGAAAUCCUAAUAUAGGUUUGUGUCUUCUCUUUACAUUUACUCAAGCUUUGAGAAUUUACUUGGACAAUUCAACAUUACCAUUCUUGAUUUUGAUGCCUUCUUCAUGCUGUAACUUAAUAUCUGGUCGUAUCUUACAACAACAUGGUGACAUGACUCUAGCAGCUAAAGUAUACGGCUCCUGGUAGCAGGUGAACUGAUUAACUAAGAGAAUGGCUUUAUCUGUAGUUCUUCUUAGUUAAAUUCUCUGCUGAACACUUGAAUUGUAUUCUUCUCUUCUCUUAACUUUGAUUCAUCUCACACUUUAAAGCUCCGCCAUGAGAUUUAAACUAGGUUGUCAUACUAUGUCUUUCUUGUUUCCUCUGGAAAAUAAUGUUGUCUUUUUCUGGUAGUACUGUACUUGUGGAUAUUUAUCAAAUCUUUUUGAUCAUGUGGAUGACAAUAAAACUAACCAAAUCUUAUU